UUGUCGAUCGAGUAGACCGCCAGAGGGAAUUCGGAGUAGAGGGCGUUGCUGAUCGGCGUCUCGUCUACGCCGGUCGACACGUUCGCCUGGUUGCUGCUGGUCGUCACAUUGACCGUGUAGACUGCUCCAUUGCUGCCGGAGGCCUGGGUGCGCACCGGGUUGCUCGCGGUUUGGAAGGUCGUCAGGCUGUAGUACCUCGGCAGGACAUGGUACAAGACUAAAGAGACCUGUUCUUGGGGGUUGAGGCUGUUGAGGGCGCCGGACUUGAGGCUGCUGAAGGCGUUGUCGGUGGGGGCGAAGAUGGUGAGGCCGUCGUAGGAGUUGUUGAGCUGGCUUUGUACCUGCUCCCCUACUUGGGUAACCUUGAGGAGGCGCAGG
rnacentral:lncRNA from 1 species